rnacentral:rRNA from 1 species
CCAAAUUGGUGCCAGCAGUCGCGGUUACACGAAUGAUGUAAAUGAAUUUCAUCAGUAAAAGUUAAAUAGUUAUUUUAAAAUAAAAAUAAAUUUAUUAGGUGAAAUUUUAAAUUUAUAAAUUUUUAUAUAGUAUUUAUUGAAGCUUAAAAAUUUUAGUAAUAAACUAGGAUUAGAUACCCUAUUAUUUAAAAUGUAAACUUAUUGCUAGAGUAGUAGUAGUUAUGUUCUUGAAACUUAAAAAAUUUGGCGGUAUUUUAGUCUAUUCAGAGGAACCUGUUCUGUAAUCGAUAUUCCACGAUGGACCUUUCUUGAGCUUGUAUUUCAGUUUAUAUACCGUCGUUAUCAGAAUAUUUUAUAAGAAAAAUAAUUUUCUAUAAUUUUUAUAAAAAUUUAUAUCAGAUCAAGGUGUAGCUUAUGCUUAAGUAGAAAUGGGUUACAAUAAAGUUAUUUAUAUGGAUACAAAUAUGAAAAAUUUGUUCAAAGUGGAUUUGAUAGUAAAAUUAUAAAGAUUAAUAAUUUGAUUUUAGCUCUAAAAUAUGUACACAUCGCCCGUCGCUC